rnacentral:rRNA from 1 species
GAGGGUAGGAGUGAAAGGCCAAUCAAACUGGGAGAUAGCUCGUACUCCCCGAAAUGUCUUUAGGGACAGCCUCGUCAGUUUCCCGCGUGAGGUAGAGCUACCGAUUGGAAGCGAGGGCUUCGCCGCCUAUCAAUUCCAGACGAACUCCGAAUGCGCGCGGUGAUCUAUGACGGGAGUGAGUCGUCGGGUGCUAAUAUCCGGCGGCGAGAGGGUAAGAGCCCAGACCUCCGGCCAAGGCCCCCAAGAACGGUCUAAGUUGAGACAGAACGAAGUGGCACCGCAGAGACAGCCAGGAUGUUAGCUUGGAAGCAGCUAUUCAUUCAAAGAGUGCGUAACAGCUCACUGGUCGAGCGGAGCCGCGUGGAUGAUGAUCGGGCAUCAAGACCGUCGCCGAAGCCGAGGACGACGCGCGUGAGCGCGCGCCGUGGUAGGGGAGCAUUCCGGUCGGCGCCGAAGGCGCGGCGCGAGCCGUGCUGGAGCGUCCGGAAAAGAAAAUGUAGGCAUGAGUAACGACAAGAGAUGUGUGAACAUCUCCGCCGAAAACCCAAGGUUUCCGGGGCCACGCUAAACGGCCCCGGGUCAGCCGGGAGCUAAGGGUAAGCCGAACGGUGAUCCCGAUGCCGAUGCGGUCAACAUUCCGCAGCCGGCGCGCCAGGCGCACACGCGACCGAGGAGUGACACUGCCGCGGGGAGACGGAAUUCCCCGUUGAAGGCCGUAGGGAGACCGAAAGCCGACAGUACGGCGAGCCUUCGGGCGAGCCGACAGAGCAGGUAACCAUACUCGCGAGAAAAGCGUGUGCGCGCGAAGCGUCGCGCCGCCCGUACCGUAAACCGACACAGGUGGGUGGGGAGAGAAUCCUUAGGCGCUCGAGUGAAUCACGGCCAAGGAACUAGGCAAAUUGACCCCGUAACUUCGGGAUAAGGGGUCCCGCGGCGACGCGGGCGCAGAGAAAUGGCCCAGGCGACUGUUUACCAAAAACAUAUGGCUAUGCGAAAUCGAUAAGAUGACGAAUAUGGCCUGACACCUGCCCGGUGCCGGAAGGUUAAGAGGGGGGGUCACCGAAAGGGAAGCCCUGAAUUGAAGCCCCGGUAAACGGCGGCCGUAACUAUAACGGUCCUAAGGUAGCGAAAUUCCUUGUCGGGUAAGUUCCGACCUGCACGAAUGGUGUAACGAUCUGGGCGCUGUCUCAGCCGUGAGCUCGGUGAAAUUGUAGUGGCGGUGAAGAUGCCGCCUACCCGCAACGGGACGAAAAGACCCCGUGAACCUUUACUAUAGCUUAGCGCUGAUCUUGGACGUCGGAUGUGUAGCAUAGGUGGGAGGCUUCGAGGCGCGGCCGCCAGGUCGCGAUUAGCCGCCAAGUGAAAUACCACCCUUCCGUCGUCUGGGGUCUAACUUCGCGAGAAGGACACCGCUUGGUGGGUAGUUUGACUGGGGUGGUCGCCUCCAAAAGAGUAACGGAGGCUUCCCAAGGUCCGCUCAGGACGAAUGGCAACCGUCCGCAGAGUGCAGUGGCAAAAGCGGGCUUGACUGGGAGACAAACAGGUCGAGCAGGUACGAAAGUAGGGCAAAGUGAUCCGGCGGUUCCUCAUGGGAGGGCCGUCGCUCAUAGGACAAAAGGUACUCCGGGGAUAACAGGCUGAUCGCUCCCAAGAGCUCAAAUCGACGGAGCGGUUUGGCACCUCGAUGUCGGCUCGUCACAUCCUGGGGCUGGAGAAGGUCCCA